rnacentral:rRNA from 1 species
AGUGGAUGGGGAGCAACCUAGUUGUGCGUGUGUAAAGGUAGUGCCAAGAAAAGCGAUGAUCAUGUUGAAAAUCAAUUCCCGGUACCCGAAACCGACACAGGUGGGCAAGUAGAGAAUACUAAGGGGCGCGAGGUAACUCUCUCCAAGGAACUCGGCAAAAUGACCCCGUAACUUAGGGAGAAGGGGUGCCACCGAGAGGUGGUCGCAGUGAAGAGGCCCAGGCGACUGUUUAGCAAAAACAUAGGUCUCUGCAAACUCGAAAGAGGAGGUAUAGGGGCUGACGCCUGCCCAGUGCCGGAAGGUUAAAGAAGUUGGUCAGUUUUAGGAUGAAGCUAGCGACUGAAGCCCCGGUGAACGGCGGCCGUAACUAUAACGGUCCUAAGGUAGCGAAAUUCCUUGUCGGGUAAGUUCCGACCCGCACGAAAGGCGUAACGAUCUGGGCGCUGUCUCGGAGAGAGGCUCGGCGAAAUAGGAUUGUCUGUGAAGAUACGGACUACCUGCAUUUGGACAGAAAGACCCUAUGAAGCUUUACUAUAGCUUGGAAUUGUGUUCGGGCUUCCUGUGCGCAGGAUAGGUGGGAGGCGUAGAAGGUAUUCUUGUGGGGAUACUGGAGCCAACGGUGAGAUACCACUCUCAGGAGGCUAGAAUUCUAACUUAAUUAAGGACAGUUUCAGGUGGGUAGUUUGACUGGGGCGGUCGCCUCCAAAAAGGUAACGGAGGCGUACAAAGGUUCCCUCAGACUGGUUGGAAAUCAGUCGAAGAGUGCAAAGGCAGAAGGGAGCUUGACUGCGAGAAGUACAGUUCGAGCAGGGUGGAAACACGGUCUUAGUGAUCCGACGGUGCUGUGUGGAAGGGCCGUCGCUCAACGGAUAAAAGUUACUCUAGGAUAACAGGCUGAUCUCCCCCAAGAGUUCACAUCGACGGGGAGGUUUGGCACCUCGAUGUCGGCUCAUCGCAACCUGGGGCGGAAGUACGUCCCAAGGGUUGGGCUGUUCGCCCAUUAAAGUGGUACGUGAGCUGGGUUCAGAACGUCGUGAGACAGUUCGGUCCAUAUCCGAUGUAGGCGUGAGAAUAUUGAGAGGAGCCUUCCUUAGUACGAGAGGACCGGGUAGGACGCACCGCUGGUGUACCUGUUAUGAUGCCAAUUGUAAACGCAGGGUAGCCAAGUGCGGAGAGGAUAACCGCUGAAAGCAUCUAAGUGGGAAGCCCACCUCAAGAUGAGUAUUCUGGUGUAAGGUCACGGGAAGACGACCCGUAAAUAGGCACGAGGUGGAAGUGCAGAGAUGUAUGAGGCCGAAGUGUACUAAUAGACCGUCGGCUUGAC